GCAGUCGACGGAACAGCUUGUAGCAAUACCGGCUGUUCAGUGGCGAACGGGUGCGUAACACGUGGGCAACAUGCCUGAAUGCGCGGGAUAGCCCGGGGAAACCCGGAUUAAUACCGCAUGUGACAUCGGGGGGGAUUCCCUCCGCUGUCAAAGGUGGGGACCGCAAGGCCUGCCGCUUUCAGAUUGGCCCGCGCCCUAUCAGCUUGUUGGUGAGGUAACGGCUCACCAAGGCUACGACGGGUAGCUGGUCUGAGAGGACGACCAGCCACACUGGAACUGAGACACGGUCCAGACACCUACGGGUGGCAGCAGUCGAGAAUCUUUCACAAUGGGGGAAACCCUGAUGGAGCGACGCCGCGUGGAGGAUGAAGGUCUUCGGAUUGUAAACUCCUGUCAUGAGAGAACAAGCAGACCCGGUAAACAACCGGGCGAGCGGAUAGUAUCUCAAGAGGAAGGGACGGCUAACUUCGUGCCAGCAGCCGCGGUAAUACGAAGGUCCCAAGCGUUGUUCGGAAUCACUGGGCGUAAAGGGUGCGUAGGCGGCGCGAAAAGUCAGAUGUGAAAUCCCGGGGCUCAACCCCGGAAUGGCAUCCGAUACUCUCGCGCUCGAGGACUGGAGGGGAGACUGGAAUUUACGGUGUAGCAGUGAAAUGCGUAGAGAUCGUAAGGAAGACCAGUGGCGAAGGCGAGUCUCUGGACAGUUACUGACACUGAGGCACGAAAGGCCAGGGGAGCAAACGGGAUUAGA
rnacentral:rRNA from 1 species